GAUGACAUUAAUCAGAGUUUUAAUGAUUUAAACUGAGAUUAAUCACAGUUUUAAUGAUUUAAACUGAGAUUGAUCAGAGUUUUAAUAAUUUAAGCUGACAUUAAUCAGAGUUUUAAUAAUUUAAGCUGACAUUAAUCAGUGUUUUAAUGAUUUAAGCUGACAUUAAUCAGAGCUUCUUCUUGUUCAGGAGAGCUUCAUCCGUCAAACUGAGUCUGGCGAAACUGGCCGAAGCUCCGGAGGAUUCGUCCUCCAAACAUCUGGACCGUAGAGCUGCUAGCCUGGAGAGACAAUCGUCCACGGAGGGCCAGCCUCCACCCAAACCCCCCCACACCUACUACAACAGACACUCCUACCCUGAGGGGGGGGAGGGGCUCCACUCAGGUGAGGCCUUCACAAAAAAAAAAAAAAAGAAAUUAAAGCUGCAAACAGCGUUGGUCGGGUCCUCGCAUCCGAGCGGCCCGGCUUUCCCAUGCAUAUCCACCAGGUGGCGCUGCAACUGAGAGUGUAUAUCGACAACAUGGCGGCGAGCGGUGCAGAUCUAAAGGUACGUGUCUACUAGAUGCUAUUUUCCCGCACGGCAACACACCACAUCUGAAAAUCACACGGACGGCGGGCGGUCACUAGCGGACCACAACAUGGUCACAUGACAGCACUGACCAACAGCAGGCUGCUACGUGGUCACAUGACCGAGCUUUCAGCUGGACAGUCCUGCAGAUGAGUCGGUUAAACACAGCAGCUCGGCUGCAAACUUUCCCUUUUAUUUCAAAAACACGUCAGCGAAAAGUAUUUCUGAAAGCAUUUGAAGCGAGAAAUAAUCUGUGCAGCAGCUGAAUCUGUCCUCGUUUUAGGUCACUGACGCCUAGUUUAGAAGUUUGAGGACAGUUUCACGAUGCGUGGAAUCUCCGCACGCCUCACUGAAUUUGCAUUAAGUAGAAGUCAGUCUACUUUAUGCAAAUGAGCUGCAGCCCUCUCCAGGUAAACACACCUGAUCACAGCAGGAAACGCACCACAACCAGACCAGCAGCCACAUGCGGCGCAUUUCCAGCUGUGAUCAGGUGUGUUUACCUGGAGAGGGCUGCAGCUUAUUUGCAUAAAGUAGACUGGACUCCGCCGUGCAGAGAUUAGGUAGAGGGUUAAAAAAAUCGGAUAAAUUGUGAAUCGGGAUUUUUUGUGAAAAAAUCUGAGAUUUUUUUUUAGGCCAUAUCGCCCAGCCCUAGAUUUGAGCAUGUACAGUGUAGUUAGACAGCACUUGCUGUUUCAUGGCAAGAAAUCCAAAAUGGCCACCAGGUGGAGCUAUCACUGUGAACAUAUGUCGACCUAUGGAUGUGAUUGUGGCCAGACUGUGAUCACACAUGUAAAGUUUGGGGCAGAUUGGUACAUGUCCAGGCUAGUUAUACAGCACUUCCUGUUUCAUGGUGAGACAUCCAAAAUGGCCGCAUAACGCUGGUCGCCAUGGCCACGCCCUCAGACUUUUGCGGAGCAUUUUGAUAACUUCUGAUCACCCAAGACUGGUGUCCAUCCUGACCAAAUUUUAGCUCUCUCAGAGUUACACUCUUUGAGUUUAUAGCUUUUGAAAAUAUCCAAAAAUGACAAAAUUGUCCAAAAUAUGAAUCAUAUUUCAAAAUGGCCGCAUUCCGUGGCUCGCCAUUUCCAUGCCCUCAGACUUUUGCGGAGCGUUUUGAUAACUUUUGAUCACCCAUGACUGGAGUACAUCUUGGCCAAAUUUCAGCUCUCUCGGGAUUACGCUGUUUGAGUUUAUAGAUUUUAAAAAAUGUCCAAAAAUGACACAAAAUUUUCCAAAACAUGACUCAAAAUUCAAAAUGGCCGACUUCCUGUUGGAUUAUGGGUAAUGAUGCAAGAGGCUUUUUUGUGCGUCUUGAUGAGUUACAUACGUGUACCGAAUUUCAGAAGUGUAGGUCAAAUGCUGUCCGGGGGCUGAAUUUUCUUAAUUUUCUAGGGGGCGCUAUUGAGCCAUUUUGGCACGCACCGGUCCUGAUGUGUGUGGCGAUUUUCAUGCAUUUUCGUGUAUGUUUAGGGCGUCAGAAAUGCCGAUUUCCCGGCCGAUGAAUAAAGAAAAAAUAAUAAUUCCUAGGGUUUCAAUAGGUUCCUCGUACCACUUCAUGGUGCUCGGACCAUAAUAAUAAUAAUUCCUAGGGUUUCAAUAGGUUCCUCGUACCACUUCGUGGUGCUCGGACCCUAAUAAUAAUAAUUCCUAGGGUUUCAAUAGGUUCCUCAUACCACUUUGUGGUGCUCGGACCCUAAUAAUAAUAAUUCCUAGGGAUUCAAUAGGUUCCUCGUACCACUUCAUGGUGCUCGGACCAUAAUAAUAAUAAUUCCUAGGGUUUCAAUAGGUUGGCUAAUAAAAAGCAGAUUUCAGCCACAUGGGUGGAUGGACUAUAGAUAGACUAUAGAUUGAUUGAUAGGUUGUUAAUCCUGAGAGAAAUUCAAAGUAUUCAGCAGCUUACAUACAUCAUAAUUAACAAAAAGACAAAACAGGGAUGUUAGUAACAUUACAGGUUAGUAUAAACUCUGAAAAACACUUCUAAUUUUAGCUUCUAUAGAAAUGCUAAAUAUAUGAAAUGUCAAACAAUAUUUACACCUUUCAAGACACGGAGAUUUAAAGUGAUUUGCAGGUAGUAAGACAACAGUUGUAUUAAUCUACAUGAGGUGCACAGACGUUCUACGAUCACAUUAGAUCAGUUCUACUGUGGUCAAGACUGAGACCUCCUGACCCCUCAGUGAUGAGUUCUACAGUCUGAUGGGGACCAAAGAGUUCCUGUUGGUGGAGCAGGUCAGAGACAGCAGCCUGGAGCUGAACACUCCUCUGAUCACAGUCCUGUUGUCCAGGAUGGAGUGGAUCUUCUACCAGAGUCCAGCUCUGUCCCACCACUGGACCAGCUGUCCUCACCAGUCUGUCCCUCGUUUCAGUGCUCCCUCCCCAACAAGCUACAGCUUGAAGAGAACACUGGACACGGCAGACUGGUAGAACAUCAGCAGCAGGUCCUUCCAGAUGUUCAAGGACCCCGGUCUCCUCAGGAAGUACAGACAACUCUGUCCUUUCCUGUAGAUGCUGUCCGUGGUGUCUCACCAGUCCAGUUUGUUGUCCAGCUGCCGUCCCGGGUACUGAUAUGUCCUGAACACCUCCACGUCCGUGACCCUGGUGGAAACGAGCUGGAGAUGGGGUCUGUUCCUCCUGAAGUCCACCACCAUCUCCUUGGUCCUGGAGGUGUUCAGCUGCAGGUAGUUUGAGCUCCACCAUCCCAAGAAGUCCUCCACCAGGCCCCUGUCCUGGACGUGUUGAACCUGGUGUUGAAGAAGCUGCUCCAGGAUCUUCAUGACAUCAGAUCCACUGUUCUGAAGUCCUCUGGCUGGCUGGGUGUGGUUUCUUACUGGAAGAAGAUGAUGAACCUGUGGACGUUUGUUCUGAUUGAACUUUGCUUCUCUGCAGGUUUCCAGAGCAACCACCAGAACCAGCCUGCAUCAGGACCUCCAUCAGAACCUUCAUCUGGACCUCCAUCAGAACCUCCUCCCCAGAACCAACCCACCAUGACCCCCCAGCCACCAGAACACUCCAUCAAACCCAGGAUGAGCGUCUUCAGGAAGUUCUUCACCAAGAAGUAGAUUAGCACUCAGCAUCCUUCACAAUAAAAGUCCAAUAAUCACAUUUUAGAAAUAAAGUGCUUCAAACAGAAAGCCUUAAAGAGAAAUGAGACGAGAGAAGAGUUUGGAUAAAAACUCACGUUUCAGUCUUUUUAUCUUCUGGUUCCUUUUUAAUCUGAAGUUCUGCAGCUCUGAGGAACAAGAACAUCAUGAAGAACGAGAGAGAAGUCAGGAAAACAUUAAAAUUCUUCUCCAGAUAUUACAGAUAUUUAACUUUUUACAGCUUCUACAGGAGAUAAAAGGUUUGAAAUAAUCAGAGAUAAAGAAAUAUUUCUGAAAUAAAAUAGCAGAAAUAAAGACAAAUGAUUCAUAUUCUGAGAUAAAUGUUGAAUUUAUUCAAUUAUAAUUUAAAGACAGAAAAACAAUAGAAAACUAAUCACAUUUAUAUUUUUGUUAAUUAAAUCUUUACUUGUUGCCAAAGUUCUGUCUCAUUAUUCGCCCCGAUUUGUUUCAUGUAUUUUUUAGUCUUUUAAAAUCCAGACAUGAUUUGAUUAAAUAUUUUUUUCAGUUUGUUGAAUUUUCCCCACAUUCGGUGUAAUUAAAGGAAAAGUUGAAAAUCUGAUGUUUGUUUCUGUUUUUAAACUGUGUAGCUGAUAAAUGUUGUUAAUUUUGGAGAUUUUCUUUAAAAGAGAAACCAAAUAAUUAAAAUUAAAAGUGGAAAUCUGGAUAAAAAUAUCAAAAUAAUAAGACCUCCAGGUCAGAAUCAGGACAUAAAAAUCAUAA
ensembl:lncRNA